GAAUCCCAGCGGUGCUGGUUUUGGUGCCUCCGUUAGUUAUUCGGGCCCAAAUGUACCUCCUCCACCUCCGCCUCAGCCUCCUCCUCCAGGUUCUUACGAUGGCCAAAAUUC